rnacentral:rRNA from 1 species
GAUGAACGCUAGCUACAGGCUUAACACAUGCAAGUCGAGGGGAAACGAUAUUGGAAGCUUGCUUCCGAUAGGCGUCGACCGGCGCACGGGUGAGUAACGCGUAUCCAACCUGCCCACCACUUGGGGAUAACCUUGCGAAAGUAAGACUAAUACCCAAUGAUAUCUCAAGAAGACAUCUGAAUGAGAUUAAAGAUUUAUCGGUGAUGGAUGGGGAUGCGGUCUGAUUAGCUUGUUGGCAGGGUAACGGCCCACCAAGGCGACGAUCAGUAGGGGUUCUUAGAGGAAGGUCCCCCACAUUGGAACUGAGACACGGUCCAAACUCCUACGGGAGGCAGCAGUGAGGAAUAUUGGUCAAUGGGCGAGAGCCUGAACCAGCCAAGUAGCGUGCAGGAUGACGGCCCUAUGGGUUGUAAACUGCUUUUAUAAGGGAAUAAAGUGAGCCUCGUGAGGCUUUUUGCAUGUACCUUAUGAAUAAGGACCGGCUAAUUCCGUGCCAGCCGCCGCCGUAA